CUGAUCUUUAAAAACUAACCACCUCCUCCAAGUCCUGGUUUGGUUUAGUUUAUUGCUGCAGGGUUCCAAUGUGUAACGUGUUGUUUGUUGUCAUGGAAGCACCGCUACAAGCUCGGUGUCAGGAACAUCCUCUUCUCCCCGCUCCCCCCAGCCUCCAGCAGAGCAAGGAGAUCUGGUUGCUCUGACUUCCAGAGGAAACGUGGGUUUUUACCAUAGAGGUGGGGGCACAGCUUCUCAGCCUAUACCAGGAGAAAUGUUGUACUCCAAAAGAAAGCAACCCGUGAGAGCAGGAACGUCUCUCAGCUGUCUCUUCUCAUGCACUGAUCGAUCUUGGGCGUGGGCUUCCUGCACAAAGCAAUCCGUGACAGGCUGUGGUGUGAUCGCUGCAGGCAGCCACAGCUCACAGUAAAUGCAAUUCUUACUCUAACGCUUGUUGCUUAUUAACACGUCGGAGGCCUGAUCCUGAGU
rnacentral:lncRNA from 1 species